GAACGCUAGCGGGAUGCUUUACACAUGCAAGUCGAACGGCAGCGCGGACUUCGGUCUGGCGGCGAGUGGCGAACGGGUGAGUAAUGUAUCGGAACGUGCCCAGUAGCGGGGGAUAACUACGCGAAAGCGUAGCUAAUACCGCAUACGCCCUACGGGGGAAAGCAGGGGAUCGUAAGACCUUGCACUAUUGGAGCGGCCGAUAUCGGAUUAGCUAGUUGGUGAGGUAACGGCUCACCAAGGCGACGAUCCGUAGCUGGUUUGAGAGGACGACCAGCCACACUGGGACUGAGACACGGCCCAGACUCCUACGGGAGGCAGCAGUGGGGAAUUUUGGACAAUGGGGGCAACCCUGAUCCAGCCAUCCCGCGUGUGCGAUGAAGGCCUUCGGGUUGUAAAGCACUUUUGGCAGGAAAGAAACGUCGCGGGCUAAUACCCCGUGGAACUGACGGUACCUGCAGAAUAAGCACCGGCUAACUACGUG
rnacentral:rRNA from 1 species